rnacentral:rRNA from 1 species
GACAGAGGUGCCAAGCGUUAUGCGGAAUCACUGGGCGUAAAGGGUGCGUAGGCGGGUCUUUAAGUCCGGGGUGAAAUCCUGGAGCUCAACUCCAGAACUGCCUUUGAUACUGAGGAUCUUGAGUUCGGGAGAGGUGAGUGGAACUGCGAGUGUAGAGGUGAAAUUCGUAGAUAUUCGCAAGAACACCAGUGGCGAAGGCGGCUCACUGGCCCGAUACUGACGCUGAGGCACGAAAGCGUGGGGAGCAAACAGG